UUCUUGUGCUGUCUCCCUUCAUAGGACACGGAUAGGAGUGCUAGGUGUGCAUCCCCACAGGCUAGAUCUUGGGAGCUAUGAAGAAAUAGGAGGAGAUGAAAAUCAUGCGGGGCAGUGGGCGCUAGAGUAGAGCAGUGUCUGUGGAUGUUGACUCAGUCUCUGUUCAUCGAGUCGAGCGGAUGUAGAUGGGAUGGGAGAGGGAGGCAGGGAUGAGGGCAAGAUUAAAUGCACCAGUAGUGCUGUGUGUUGUGAUGGUACUUACUUGACUUUAUUAGUUUGCAGAGGAAUCAUCCAGGAGCCCUCGCUGGACGAGAAUAUGCAGAAGUGGCCGUGAGCAGCCUUGACAUCCUUAUAAGGAGACCUCAACAGUCCUCAGGUUUCUGCCUUCUGCCUAACUGGCUUAGCAAGAGAAAAGAAGUCACAGGCCAGAGUCUACUACCCUCAUGCAAUGGAAUGGGAGCGAGAGCGAUGAGUCUGCAAGCGUUGUUGAUGCGACGCAGAAGGCGUCCAUCUGGGAGCGGAACCGCCACCACUCUCAAUGAGAUAAGUGUCUUCUUUGGUGAUUGCUCUGCUCAAAGCCCAUCUUGCUCCCGGUAGGGAUGCCCCAUUAGCUGGGGCUCGGUUUGUAAGAAAAGGUUACUGAUUAGUUGCGGUUACAAGGGAGACGAUGUCCCCAUUUUCAGGGGCUGCUCAUGUCUCUGGCCAGGACCAGUGUGUCCUCUGCAGCAUAUUAGAUCCAGGGGGAUGACUCCAGCUGAUCCAUUUCCAGAGGAAUUUCCCAGGAGCCGUAGCCGGAGGAGAGGUUGGCAGAUGUGGGCAUGAGGAAACUGAACAUCCUUCUGAGCAGACACGAACAGUCCUUGGCUUUCUGCUUCCCACAUAACUGGCUUACCAAGGAAAAAGAAGUCACACGUCGGAGUCUACUGCCCUCAUGUGAUGGACAGUGAGUGAGAGCAGCGAGCCUGUGAGCAUUGUUCAUGCCAGGCAAGAGCCGUCCAUCUGGGAACUGAGCAGAGGCCACUGUCACUGAGAUAAGUGUCUGGUUUGGUGAUUGCUCUGCUCACAGCUCAACUCCUGGUAGGGACACCCCUUAGCAAGGUCUGGGUUUGUAAGAAAAGGUUCCUAACUAGUGGUUAUG